rnacentral:rRNA from 1 species
AAGUCGUAACAAGGUUGUGUCCCCGGAAACCCUCUUGGAAGCCUUCCACGCCACGACGAUAAACCACGCGUGCAGUCUAGCAAUAGGCGACGUCACCCUUGUGCUGGGACGACACCUUACCCGGUGGCGGAUCAGCAGCCAGGCUUGCCUGGUCCACAGAUUAGGUGGUGACGGUCCCCGGCUUUGGCCCGGGGAUUGAGAUAUAAUCGGUCCCCAUCUGCCCCUGCAGAUGGUUGAGCGACGUUCCGUAGGUGAACCUGCGGAAGGAUCAUUA